GUUUAUGACCGAACCUUUAUUGGGGAGCGACAAGAGAUCUCCCGGAAUCAGUUUGAAUGGAGCAGAGCUGUUAUACUCAAGUCUAUUGCGAAAUUGUCUAAACUGGUAUUAACUAUUCCUGGUAAAUCGCGGAGAAGAGUGGCCUGAACAAAAAAGUCAGACCGUGACUAGAACCAUCAGCAGCGUAACACGGAAAUCUUGGAACAAAAGAGACGCCGACUGGCUCGUGUUGUCCGGUUUGGAUAUCAGAGGCAAAGCGAACGUUGUGUGUACUAUUGCAAAAUAUAUAGCGGAUCUCCACGGUUAGGAUACAGACCACAACGCUUUGGACGUAUCUUUAAAAAAGAUUAAAAUCAGAGACUUUUUGGAUUUGUCUGGGGACAUUUUAAACAUUUUGUGGCAAAUUGGAUUUAAAACAUUUCGGAUACUGGAUACCUAGUUUGAUUUGUCCACAGAGCUUGUUUAAAACGUUUUCACCGCAUUUUAGGGUUUAUUUUUAAUUAAAGGCUUCUUAAAACAUGUGUGAAAAUGUGUAUAUUAUACAAUGAGUCUUAUAUUGUCUGCUCUGACAAAAAUAAAUUAUUAUUUUAGAUUUUA